rnacentral:rRNA from 1 species
AUUGAACGCUGGCGGCAGGCCUAACACAUGCAAGUCGAACGAGGGGCGGACGGGUGAGUAAUGUCUGGGAAACUGCCUGAGGGAGGGGGAUAACUACUGGAAACGGUAGCUUAUCCCGCAUACCAUCGUCUGUCCCCAGAUGGGAUUAGCGUGUGGGUGGGGUAAAGGCUCACCUAGGCGACUAUCCCUAGCUGGUCUGAGAGGAUGACCAGCCACACUGGAACUGAGACACGGUCCAGACUCCUACGGGAGGCAGCAGUGGGGAAUAUUGCACAAUGGGCGCAAGCCUGAUGCAGCCAUGCCGCGUGUAUGAAGAAGGCCUUCGGGUUGUAAAGUACUUUCAGCGGGGAGGCGUUACCCGCAGAAGAAGCACCGGCUAACUCCGUGCCAGCAGCCGCGGUAAUUC